rnacentral:rRNA from 1 species
GAGGUAACAUUCCGAAAGGAAUGCUAAUACCUGAUAAGCCUACGCCCUCCUCGGAGGAAGUAGGAAAAGGUGGGGACCUUCGGGCCUGCCGUUGUUGGAUGAGUCCGCGGCCCAUUAGCUAGUUGGUAGGGUAAUGGCCUACCAAGGCUACGAUGGGUAGCUGGUCUGAGAGGAUGAUCAGCCACACUGGAACUGAGACACGGUCCAG